rnacentral:rRNA from 1 species
UACGUAGGGGGCAAGCGUUGUCCGGAUUUAUUGGGCGUAAAGAGCGUGUAGGCGGUCAGGUAGGUCCGUUGUGAAAACUCGAGGCUCAACCUCGAGACGCCGAUGGAAACCAUCUGACUAGAGUCCGGAAGAGGAGAGUGGAAUUCCUGGUGUAGCGGUGAAAUGCGCAGAUAUCAGGAGGAACACCGGUGGCGAAGGCGGGUCUCUGGGCAUGUCCUGACGCUGAGGAGCGAAAGUGUGGGGAGCGAACAGG